rnacentral:rRNA from 1 species
UACGAAGGGUGCAAACGUUGCUCGGAAUUAUUGGGCGUAAAGCGCACGUAGGCGGCUUUGCAAGUCGGAUGUGAAAUCCCUCGGCUCAACCAAGGAAGUGCAUCCGAAACUGCAGAGCUUGAGUACUUAAGAGGAUCGCGGAAUUCCCGGUGUAGAGGUGAAAUUCGUAGAUAUCGGGAGGAACACCGGUGGCGAAGGCGGCAGCCUGGGUUGACACUGACGCUGAGGCGCGAAAGCGUGGGGAGCAAACAGG